UCUUUUCCUUUUUUUCCAUCCUCCUCUUUAAUACGUAGGGAGCAAGCGUUGUCCGGAUUUACUGGGUGUAAAGGGUGCGUAGGCGGCUUUGCAAGUCAGAUGUGAAAUCUAUGGGCUCAACCCAUAAACUGCAUUUGAAACUGUAGAGCUUGAGUGAAGUAGAGGCAGGCGGAAUUCCCCGUGUAGCGGUGAAAUGCGUAGAGAUGGGGAGGAACACCAGUGGCGAAGGCGGCCUGCUGGGCUUUAACUGACGCUGAGGCACGAAAGCGUGGGUAGCAAACAGG
rnacentral:rRNA from 1 species